UUAAUUAAGAUGACUCAAACAUUACAUGAUAUCCCGUGGAUAUCAUGAAUAAUACGUGGUUGACCCUGGACUUCUCUUCACCAGAAAAGUCUUCAGGCUGACGUGGAACGAAAACAAAGUAUCCCUUGACAAGAAGUAUGUUGUACCAGAUCAGGUCAGCUUCGCUCCACGUCAGUCUUGCUUCAAAACAAAUAAGAAGAAGGUUUUUUCAGGCUCCAGAAGCUACCAAGAAAAACUAAGUGUAGAUGUACAAUCCAGCGGUAAGGGGCUAGGAAGAGGACGCCAUUCUUCCACUAUUUUCAGCAACUCUAUUUGUGUUCUAUUUCUUAACGCGGGUGCUCGUUGCACUCAAGCGAAACCUAAAGGAUGAGGCGGAUUGGAAAUGGUCAGAGGUUGCCCCUUGUAAACUCAAGAUAAGCAUCCGUUCCACAGAGCCUCCAAAAACGAGUGCUAAACUUCGCCUGGUUUACAAAUGGAAAUCAGCGGCGCCUCGUCUUGGAAGUCAAGACUUUGUCGCUGAUGCUUACUUAAAUACCGACAGCAAUUGGGGUAAGUAUUCCUCGUAGCGAUCAGCAAAAUUUUAAUUACCACAAAUACUGUUACCGUCUUCAAAUUGACGAUAUAAUUUCAGUUGCUCAUCUCUUCUCGUAAUUUUAUUUCCAGGAGUGGGUGAUUCUUUGGAUGGAGAUGCAGGUCAUGUAUUAUCGCCACUUGCUGAUGGUAAUUUCCUGAAUGACUUUGCGAAACAGCGGUCGCAGACACAAGUUCCUUCGCAAGUCCACACAGAGCUUCAUCAACACGUUCAUCAUCUGCAAAAUAUCCAAGACGUAAAUGUUAGCUCUGAGUACUGCGCAGUCGGGGACCAUUCUUCCUUUUCCAUUCAGGAACCAUCAACCAGCCCAAGAGCCCUUCCACCAGGUCCGAGUACAGCUACAUAGAGAAGCAUAACUGACGGCUCGCAGCACAGAGACACAAACUCUUCUGGAGAAUAAAAAAAUACCCGCUGUAGGAAAGAAAUUUCAGUUUGGAAUUCAGUUCACAUGUUAUUAUGAUGAAUAACGCUUUAAUUCACUCUCUGUAUCACUGCGACUUAAAACUAACUGAUUUUAAGGUGGAAAAAUUUUGAAUGCUCGGACAUCAUUAUUCACUGCGAAAAUUUUAUUUAACUGUAUUCGUAGAUGAUUGUUCUUGUUUUGUUUGUUUGUUUUUAAGUGGAAGAGAAUUUUAUUCCCGAGUCUCUUCUUCUUGCGGAAUCAUGUUGAAAACUACUCACGAUUAACUUUUUUAAAGCAUUUUAGAGGACGACUUUAAGGUU